GAUAGUCGUCAUGGUUGGAUAAAAUCCUAGUCUUCUCGAUAUUGAUGGAGAUAUUAGAAUUAUUUUGGGUAUCCUUAUUGACUUUAAUGGCUUGGAAGAUGGAAUAUGCCAGCUCUUCCUUUGGUCCCGUUAGAAAUAAGACCUUCAAGGCUGGAGUUAUAAAUAGUAAUAUCGUUCAAUCCAUUCAUUGCGAUGAGAUAGAGGGACGGGGUAGCAAAUCUCCUUGGCAAGCUCCACGCUGAAUGACAAUGCUCGAUGAUGAGUUCCUAAGGAUGGCCGAAACCAUGUUAACAAACACAUCCAGCAGUUAUUAAUUAUAUAGCUGUCCAGUAAUGAACUUGUGUGAGACAGUAUUGACUGCCUUUUCGAAGUCGACAAAAAUUGUAACGUACUUGGAAGAUGUACAUAAGUCUAUACCAUUGUAUAGAACCUAGUAUGUAUAUCCUCUAUCAGGCAUGAUGCCAUAAAUCCUUUCUAAUUUCCGUUGAUAUAAUGCGUGGGAAAAUCCGGGAAAGGCUUCGAUUCAAUAUUACGGUGAGUACUUUAAAUGAGGUAUUCAAGAGGAUAAUGGAUCUGUAAUUUUUUAUAUCAUACUUUGACUUGUUCUUCUUUUGGGCUAAAACAAACUCUUCUACAAUAUUUCCUUAAACACUUCAUCGAGGAUUGGCGAAAGUAAAUUUUUAAACCUUUUGAAAAAUUCAAAAGGCAACUCCAAUGGUCCAGGGCUAUUAAACUUUUUGUCAAAAUCUUGGAUGAACUUUAUAAUUUCUUUUUCAGUGAUGGUUCUAUCAGAAUCCCAAUUUUGAAAUAACAACGGUUUCCAUUUUGUUGGAUCUUUCAAAAACCUCCAGUUCAAACAGAAAUCACUUAGUCUAUUCGACCUAAAGCCCGAAUAUCUACAUAAUUUAGAAUAAAAUCUGUAUACCUCUUCGGAUGUUUUCUCGGGAUCCUCCGAUAUUUCGCCUGAGGCAAGUUUUAUGGAUUUUAUUUUCUCUUUUGUUUAUUGUGACG
rnacentral:lncRNA from 1 species